rnacentral:rRNA from 1 species
GAUGAACGCUAGCGGCAGGCUUAAUACAUGCAAGUCGUGGGGCAGCAGGUUUGUAGCAAUACAGAUGCUGGCGACCGGCAAACGGGUGCGGAACACGUACAGAACCUUCCUUUGAGCGGGGAAUAGCCCAGAGAAAUUUGGAUUAAUACCCCAUAGUAUAAUGAAGUGGCAUCACUUUAUUAUUAAAGAUUUAUCACUCGAAGAUGGCUGUGCGGCUGAUUAGGUAGUUGGCGGGGUAAAGGCCCACCAAGCCUGCGAUCAGUAACUGGUGUGAGAGCACGACCAGUCACACGGGCACUGAGACACGGGCCCGACUCCUACGGGAGGCAGCAGUAAGGAAUAUUGGUCAAUGGAGGCAACUCUGAACCAGCCAUGCCGCGUGGAGGAUGAAGGUCCUCUGGAUUGUAAACUUCUUUUAUAUGGGACGAAAAAGGACUUUCUAAGUCGUCUGACGGUACCAUAUGAAUAAGCACCGGCUAACUCCGUGCCAG